GACGUCAUAAGGCUGCGCCGCGGUCCUGCGUCUGUUGUGAUUCGGCUGAAGAAAGUGUCCACACAUAGAAAAACUCCUGGUGGAGCAACUGAGAUCCAUGUGACAUACUAUUAUAAAGAUGGCGUUUAUUAAAGAGGAGAGUGAAGACAUGAAGAUUGAAGAAACAUUCAGAGUGAAAAAGGAAGAUACUGAGGAACAAACAGCCCUGGUGGUACUGAAAGAAGAAAGUCAAGAACUGAUGGAAGAAAAAGAUCAGUAUGAGAAACAUUAUGAUUUCAUGACUGGAGAAAAAUCCACACAGACUGAAAAGACUUCCUCACGAAAAAGAGCUCAAAAGACAGACACUAACAGUUGUUUUACCUGCUGUCAGUGUGGAAAGAGUUUCAAUCAAAAACAAAACCUUGAAGUCCACUUAAGAGUUCACACAGGAGAGAAACCUUUCAGCUGCCAACAGUGUGGAAAACGUUUCACUCAAAAAGGAAACCUUAAAAGCCACUUAAGAAUUCACACUGGAGAAAAGCCUUACACCUGCCAACAGUGUGGAAAGAGCUUCACAGCAGAACCAAACCUUAGAUAUCACAUGAACAUUCACAAUGGUGUGAAGCCGUUCACAUGUGAUCAGUGUGGAAAGAGUUUUACACGUAAAGUAACCCUUAAUUACCACAUGAGGAUUCACUCAAGAGAGAACAUUUUAAUAUGUCAUCAUUGUGGAAAGAUUUUCAGUCAUAAAGUAAGCCUUAAGACUCACAUGAGACUUCACACGGGAGAGAAGCCUUACACAUGCCCUCAUUGCGGAAUGAGUUUUACAUAUAAAGCAUCACUUGAUUCCCACAUGGGAAGUCACACUGGACAGAGUGCUUUUCCCUGCAAAGUGUGUGGGAAGAGCUUCUCACUAAAAGGAAAUCUUAAGACUCACAUGAGAACUCACACUGGAGAGAAGCCGUUCAUAUGUGUUCAGUGUGGAAAAUGUUUCACACGUAAAGGAAACCUUAUUUGCCACAUGAAGAUUCACUCAAGAGAAGACUGUUAUAUAUGUCAUCAGUGUGGAAAGAGUUUCCCAGACAUGAAAUGCCUUAACAGGCAUGUGAUAAUUCACUCUGGAGAGAAGCCUUUCAAAUGCCAAGAGUGUGGAAGGGGUUUCAAAUUCAAUAAAAAUCUUAAGGCUCAUAUGAGAAUUCACAGCAGAGAGAAGCCUUUCAAAUGCCCUUCCUGUGAAAAGAGUUUCAGUCAUAAAGUAAGCCUUAAGACUCACAUGAGACUUCACACUGGAGAGAAGCCUUACACAUGCCCUCAGUGUGGAAAGAGUUUCACAUAUACAGCAACACUUAAAGCCCAUGUGAGAAGUCACACUGGAGAGAGGCCGUUCACAUGUGGUCAGUGUGGAAAGAGUUUCACACGUAAAGGAAACCUUAAUUACCAUGUGAGGAUUCACUCAAGAGAAAACUGUUUAAUAUGUCAGCAGUGUGGAAUGAAUUUUACAGAUAGGAAUCACCUUAAGAAUCAUGUAAUAAUUCACACAGGAGAGAAGCCUUUUAUGUGUCAUCACUGUGGAAAGAGUUGCACAAACAAAGCAAAUCUUGAGGUUCACGUAAGAGUUCACACUGGAGAGAAGCCUUUCACCUGCCCUCAGUGUGGGAAGAGUUUCACACUUAAAGGAAACCUUAAAACUCACAUAAGAGUUCACACUGGAGAGAAGCCUUUCAUGUGUCUUGAGUGUGAAAAGAGUUUCACAUAUCAAAAAGACCUGAAACGUCAUUUGCAAACUCAUUCCGGAAAGAAAUUGCAGUGUUCUGAGUGUGGUAAGACAUUUGGGAAAAGUAGCAAUUUCAAAAAUCACAUGCUCAUUCACUCUGGAGGAAGGCAAUUUAAUUGUGAACAGUGUAAUAAAAGGUUUCUUUUGCCAUCACACUUACAGAUACACCUGAAAAGCCAUGCAGAUGUGAGACCCUAUUUGUGUUCCUUGUGUGGAAAGAGUUUUAAAUGGCUCAGCAAUUUAAAAUGGCACCAGAGAAUACGUGUCUGUGAAAUUAAGUCAAUGUUCACCCCGCAGCAGAAUGUGGGGCAAAUCUCUGGGGCAAAACCACUUUCAUGAUCAUCUGCAUCCUUCACCUCUUGAGGCUUUUUAUUUUCUUUUGUCAUGUACAUAUGAACUUUUUGCAGCCACACCUCACCAUCUCUUUUGCUAUAGUUUAAAAUAUUGAGUGGUUGCGGUAGACACCCUCUAAUUGAGACGUCGCUCCAUUCCAUAUUGAUAUCUCAGAAUCAAAAUAUUAAACUUCUUUCUGGCUGUGAAUUGCCACAAUAUAAAGGAAAGACUGUAAACGAAACAACAUAAACUGACUGAAAAUAAUGAACAUUGAACUGCAUUAUUUGAUUUAUUUUUAGUGAGAGAAUGCACAGGUAAACGUGUUGUCAUCCUGGAAUUUAACAUGGAUAUUGUUGGGGCUCAUCCGGUGACACUGGAAGCUGGUUCCAGCUGUGGGUAAACAUUCUCUCACUGCCGAUCCUAGGUGUGCCUUAUGCUGGGUACACACCAAAAGAUAAUCGGGCUGAUUUUGGGCCGAUUUUCCCCCUUCCGACAAUCCUAGCUAUGUCCCGAUUAUCUUGAUGGUUCUACAGAUUAUUUUAUCAGAUUUUCCCUUGGUGUGAGGUGUGUUAAGAGUGUCCGAACCUGCUCGGAAGAACGUCGGAGGCGCCCCGAUCGCGAAUCGUAAAUAUUCAACAUGUUGAAUAUUUACGAUCAGAAAUCCUGAUGUGUGG